rnacentral:rRNA from 1 species
CCCUUAGAGUUUGAUCCUGGCUCAGGACGAACGCUGGCGGCGUGCCUAAUACAUGCAAGUCGAGCGGACUUGAUGGAGUGCUUGCACUCCUGAUAGUUAGCGGCGGACGGGUGAGUAACACGUAGGCAACCUGCCCGUAAGACUGGGAUAACUACCGGAAACGGUAGCUAAUACCGGAUAAUUUAUUUCGCCGCAUGGUGGAAUAAUGAAAGACGGAGCAAUCUGUCACUUACGGAUGGGCCUGCGGCGCAUUAGCUAGUUGGUGGGGUAACGGCUCACCAAGGCGACGAUGCGUAGCCGACCUGAGAGGGUGAACGGCCACACUGGGACUGAGACACGGCCCAGACUCCUACGGGAGGCAGCAGUAGGGAAUCUUCCGCAAUGGACGAAAGUCUGACGGAGCAACGCCGCGUGAGUGAUGAAGGUUUUCGGAUCGUAAAGCUCUGUUGCCAGGGAAGAACGUCCGCUAGAGUAACUGCUAGCGGAGUGACGGUACCUGAGAAGAAAGCCCCGGCUAACUACGUGCCAGCAGCCGCGGUAAUACGUAGGGGGCAAGCGUUGUCCGGAAUUAUUGGGCGUAAAGCGCGCGCAGGCGGCUAUUUAAGUCUGGUGUUUAAUCCUGGGGCUCAACUCCGGGUCGCAUUGGAAACUGGGUAGCUUGAGUGCAGAAGAGGAGAGUGGAAUUCCACGUGUAGCGGUGAAAUGCGUAGAUAUGUGGAGGAACACCAGUGGCGAAGGCGACUCUCUGGGCUGUAACUGACGCUGAGCGCGAAAGCGUGGGGAGCAAACAGAUAGAUACCCUGGUAGUCCACGCCGUAAACGAUGAA